UGCAUUCGCUACUGUAAGUCGCUCUGGAUAAGAGCGUCUGCUAAAUGACUGUAA
rfam:Salmo salar isolate Sally breed double haploid chromosome ssa15, whole genome shotgun sequence.